AUGCCACUGCCGCUGCCCGCCGUGGGCACGGGCACCGCGUCGGCGAUAGCUCCGGUCACCGCCGCCGCGGCAGCAGCGCCCCUUAGAUAUCGUCCCAUACGACUCCGCGCAUCUCCCUCGACGGUUUCCUCUCCUUCAACCUCUGCGAUCUCCAGCUCACCGCCCCCGCCGUCUGCGAGGCAUUCCCGCAAACACUUGGCGGGCAGAGGCGACGCCCCGGCGAGGCCCUCAAAGGGCCGGGUGUUCUUCCUCGACGUCAACCCGAUAUGCUUCCGCGGCUCCCAGCGCAGCCUCAGUGCCUUCGCGCGCUGGCUCGCGCUCUUCUUCACGCACGUCAGCCUCCGCGACCCCGUUGUGGCCGUCUUCGACGGGGCAGGCGGGAACGAGUACCGGAGGCGGCUGCUGCCGUCCUACAAAGCGCACCGGACUCGCGGCGCAGGCACUGGUGCCGAUUCCCGCGUGGUCGACGUGCUCCGCGAGUGCAAUGUUCCGAUUGUGCAAGUCGAUGGAUAUGAAGCAGACGAUGUAGUGGCUACCUUGACAGAGCAAGUAUUACAGAAAGGUUAUAGAGUUGUCAUUGCCUCACCUGACAAGGACUUCAAGCAGUUGAUAUCUGAAGAUGUUCAGUUAGUUAUGCCCAUUCCUGAGAUUGGCCGAUGGUCCUUCUAUACGCUGAGGCAUUAUGUUGCACAAUACAAGUGUGAUCCAACUGUAGAUUUGAGCCUCAGAUGCUUUAUGGGUGAUGAAGCAGAUGGUGUUCCGGGAAUCCAGCAUCUGGCUCCUGGUUUUGGUCGCAAGACUGCGGUGAAACUACUGAACAAACAUGGUUCAUUGGAAAACCUACUUAAUACAGCUGCAGUUAGAACUGUAGGCAAGGAGUAUGCCCAGGAUGUGUUGGUCAAACAUGCAGAUUACUUGCGAAAAAACUAUGAAGUUCUCAGUUUGAGGAGGGAUGUAAAUGUUCAGCUUGAUGACAGAUGGUUAUCCACAAGGGACACUUGUAAUGACACCAGUGUGUUAUCUGACUUCAUCACUAAAUUCAACUAA
rnacentral:rRNA from 1 species